ensembl:lncRNA
GGAUAUAUUAGGCAGCGAGUGAACAGUCAGUUCUCGAAGUUGAUGUGUUGCAAGCAGGAAAGCAUAAGGAUCUGAGUGAUUUUGACAAGGGCCAAAUUGUCAUGGCUAGAUGAGUGGGUCAGAGCAUCUCCAAAAUGGGAGGUCCUGUGGGGUGUUCCCAGUAUGCAGUGGUUAGUACCUACCAAAAGUGGUCCAAGGAAGGACGAACCAGGUCAAGAUUGUCCAAGGCUCACUGAUGCAUGUGGAGCGCGAAUGCAAGCCCGUCUGGUCCGAUCCCAAAGAAGAGCAAGGCACCAGGAUGCACUAUAGCAGUGGUUUUCAAAGUGGGGGCUGCCAGGGGGCACCCGGGAAGCCUCAACAAUUUGUUCUUCCAUCUACUACUCAACUGAAGGCGUGGUCUGGAAAGCUCUUUACUGCUUCAGUGGAUGAGACUGAAAUGAUAAGUGACCUAACCAAACCAAAGCCUUGACUUCACAGCAUGUAGACCAUUGAAAAUGAAGAGCAAACUGAGUCUCCUCAAGUUCUCUCACAUCAUUCCAUUGCUGGAUUCCCUCCACCUGCUCCAUGUAGCUGCAUGUACCAGAUUAAAAAAACAAACAGACACGUUUGCUUACAGAGUCAAAUAUGGACCAGGACCAGGCUACCUUAAAGCACUCUGCACCAUGUUCCCUUCGAGCUGCUAGCUCAGCUUGACUGGACCCACCAUCUCCUAAGAUGAUAAGACUUGCAAUAGCAUUUUCUGUCCUGAACACCUACCUUUUUACCAACCUCUUAAAUGAGCACUAAUAAAUUACUUUAAAAAAAAACCCUUUGACCCUUGUUUUGUUUUUGUUUCUCAUUAUACUAAAGGACUUCGCCUACUUAAGGCAGAGACAUCGAAGAGGGUUAUGCUAAAACAAAACCACCUACGUGAGUUUAUAAGCCCACAUUCUUUGCAGUUUGCAGUAUGUGCUCCUGUGCUGCAGGUGGCACUGUAAAUAUUUUAUGACAAUUUGCUGGCUAGAGGUAG